rnacentral:rRNA from 1 species
AUUGAACGCUGGCGGCAUGCCUUACACAUGCAAGUCGAACGGUAACAGGUCUUCGGAUGCUGACGAGUGGCGAACGGGUGAGUAAUACAUCGGAACGUGCCUAGUAGUGGGGGAUAACUACUCGAAAGAGUGGCUAAUACCGCAUGAGAUCUACGGAUGAAAGCAGGGGAUCGCAAGACCUUGUGCUACUAGAGCGGCCGAUGGCAGAUUAGGUAGUUGGUGGGAUAAAAGCUUACCAAGCCGACGAUCUGUAGCUGGUCUGAGAGGACGAUCAGCCACACUGGGAAUGGGACACGGCCCAGACUCCUACGGGAGGCAGCAGUGGGGAAUUUUGGACAAUGGGCGCAAGCCUGAUCCAGCAAUGCCGCGUGCAGGAUGAAGGCCUUCGGGUUGUAAACUGCUUUUGUACGGAACGAAAAGCCCUGGGUUAAUACCCUGGGGUCAUGACGGUACCGUAAGAAUAAGCACCGGCUAACUACGUGCCAGCCGCCGCAGUAACAC